UGGGGAAUAUUGCACAAUGGGGGAAACCCUGAUGCAGCGACGCCGCGUGGAGGAAGAAGGUCUUCGGAUUGUAAACUCCUGUUGUUGAGGAAGAUAAUGACGGUACUCAACAAGGAAGUGACGGCUAACUACGUGCCAGCAGCCGCGGUAAAACGUAGGUCACAAGCGUUGUCCGGAAUUACUGGGUGUAAAGGGAGCGCAGGCGGGAAGACAAGUUGGAAGUGAAAUCCAUGGGCUCAACCCAUGAACUGCUUUCAAAACUGUUUUUCUUGAGUAGUGCAGAGGUAGGCGGAAUUCCCGGCGUAGCGGUGGAAUGCGUAGAUAUCGGGAGGAACACCAGUGGCGAAGGCGGCCUACUGGGCACCAACUGACGCUGAGGCUCGAAAGUGUGGGUAGCAAACAGGAUUAGAUACCCUGGUAGUCCACACUGUAAACGAUGAUUACUAGGUGUUGGAGGAUUGACCCCUUCAGUGCCGCAGUUAACACAAUAAGUAAUCCACCUGGGGAGUACGACCGCAAGGUUGAAACUCAAAGGAAUUGACGGGGGCCCGCACAAGCAGUGGAGUAUGUGGUUUAAUUCGACGCAACGCGAAGAACCUUACCAAGUCUUGACAUCCUGCGACGAUGCUGGAAACAGUACUUUCCUUCGGGACGCAGAGACAGGUGGUGCAUGGUUGUCGUCAGCUCGUGUCGUGAGAUGUUGGGUUAAGUCCCGCAACGAGCGCAACCCUUAUGGUCAGUUACUACGCAAGAGGACUCUGGCCAGACUGCCGUUGACAAAACGGAGGAAGGUGGGGAUGACGUCAAAUCAUCAUGCCCUUUAUGACUUGGGCUACACACGUACUACAAUGGCGUUAAACAAAGAGAAGCAAGACCGCGAGGUGGAGCAAAACUCAGAAACAACGUCCCAGUUCGGACUGCAGGCUGCAACUCGCCUGCACGAAGUCGGAAUUGCUAGUAAUCGCAGAUCAGCAUGCUGCGGUGAAUACGUUCCC
rnacentral:rRNA from 1 species